UACGAGGGGGGCAAGCGUUGUUCGGAAUUAUUGGGCGUAAAGGGCGCGUAGGCGGUUUGACAAGUCUGAUGUGAAAUCUAUGGGCUCAACCCAUAGCCUGCAUUAGAAACUGUCGGGCUUGAGUAUGGGAGAGGUGAGUGGAAUUGCGAGUGUAGAGGUGAAAUUCGUAGAUAUUCGCAAGAACACCAGUGGCGAAGGCGGCUCACUGGCCCGAUACUGACGCUGAGGUGCGAAAGCGUGGGGAGCAAACAGGG
rnacentral:rRNA from 1 species